rnacentral:lncRNA from 1 species
AUUUCCCAGAUACAGCUGAUCGAGUUCGCCGAGUGGCCGAGCGAGUGAGCGCUCCUCCGACUUGGGUGGAGGAAGGCACGGAAAAGUAUACGGGAGAAAAAGUGGGGGUUUUAGGGGUGGGGGUGGCAUAGGAGGAGGGAGGGGGGGAUCUGCAAAUCAUUCCACUUUUUAAACGAUCAUAGGUAGUGUCAAGGAUACGUGUCACCCUUGGUUCCUUUUAAAGGGGAGGUGGACAAUAAAAUACAGGUAGGUUUGGUAUUAAAAUAAUAGGUGCCAGAGGUUUCACAUCGGGUCCGCUGCAUCUGUUAUUAGACGAAGAUCAACAUUGGCUGAGUCCCAGUUUAUCUCCAGUCCAAAUUAUCAGGAAGAGGAAUAUUUACCCUUGGUUACCUCUGACAUUAGUUGGAUUGUAGGUAAAGCAGCCUUUAAAAAUAUAUAUGUUGCAAACAUCUGGCGAUUACCCUUCACUAAUUCACUCGCCCCAGAAAGACCAAAGAUAGCUGUUCAAUACAGGAUUUACACAGUUUUGACGCCUGGGCAACAAACUUUAAAGUUUAUUAGGCAAGAAAUUUCAAACGCAUAAAUCGCAGGCUCUAAAAUAAAGCCCUAGAAAAUUUACUUUGGUUUGACAUUUCUUGCUUGAAAAAUAACCAGCAAAAUUUCUUUAGAUAAUGUGGCUCUUAAAGAUCUCCUUGGGCUUUGCAAGUUACAAAUGCAAGCGAGCCUCAGCCGCAGCUAGAACGUCCCUUUCACCGGGCACAGUAAACGGCUUUUAAUAAAGCAGCCGCGUUUAUGACCUAAAGAUCCUAUAAAAGCUGGGACUUGCAAGAGCUGCGAAGCAGAAACAUUCAUACAUAGUCUAUUAGACACUCAUUUUUGUAAGUAGGAGGAGGACAAGUAGUCUUCGUGUGUCCCUCAAAUUUAAUCAGAUCAAAGGUUGAAUCAUGCUGUGUCGUGACAACAGGGUAUUUAUGAGGUGUGUUACAAGUACACUGGCCAAACACUACCAAUGUCUUCUGCGACACACACACACACACACUCCUUCCUAGGGAAUUUACAAUUUCAGCCUCAAAUUCACCAAACCGUAAAGAGGAUAUUAAGCCCUCCCUUUGAAUAAGAAUAGCGAUGUUAGUAUGUCCGAGUCUAUCCCGGCAGGAAACUUUUGGCACGAAUUUCAAACAGUGAAAAGGAGAAAAAAAAUUAGGUCGGUCAGGUUAGGUGUCGGCGAUAAGAAAAGAGAUUGCGGGAGCAUCCCCAGCCUUCUUCUUUCCCCUUUUGCCGCCCCCACACACUCCCCCCACGCGUCUAUCACGGAAGCAACACAGAGGAGCGCACACGCACCACUCACACCUCCAACUAUUGACUGUUGUAUCAGGUGUUCUAACCGGGAUGUGACAGUUGAGGCUGGGAGCAGAAAUAAUCAACAUGCCCAUUAGAUACAGGACGGAAUAAUGCUUCUAUUGGUUGGGUCCCUUCGAGGUAAGCGGGUGUAUUGAGCGGGGAAACUUGGGAUCUGAGAAUGGAUCAAAGCUACUUUCUUUCUUAUUUUUCGUCCUACUAGUUUUCUUUAAGAAUCUUGGUUUGUACAUAUAAGUUAGCGCCAGCCCACAAAUAAACUGGUAGGAGUAAGGGCUAUAUACCUUUCCACACCUUAAAACCAUCUGCUCAGUUUGACAUUUAAAAGGGCGGAGAGCAGAGAAGGAGGAGGGGGGAGUAGGGGGAAGAAAGGAGUCAGGGACAGAGAAAAAGAUUCAAACGCGAAAAAAAUGGCUUGCACUUUAGCCCACAAGUUUGUGUCAAUUGCACAUAGCGCUUGAAUGCACGUUUUGCACACACCACGCCCGGGAACUGGCGGCGGGAAAAGUUCCCUGAGAACCCCAGUAAGUCCUGUGUCACGCCGUGGGCAAAAGCAGGCCUGAGUCGAAGUCGGGGUAACCCGCUUGCCGAACAAGGAAGCUCUCCCACCCCCAGCCUCGGCGGCAGAGGCUCCCGGCUCGCGACGCUCUGCCGCGGCGGUUCGCAGCCCGCAUUAGGGCGCAGGAGCGGCGACUUGAAAUAGGAGCGCGCGCCACGCUAGGCGAGCGAGAUCGGUUCGCAGCCCAGCUCCGUGAGCUGCCUCGGCGCAGCCCUGUCCCGUGUCCUGUCCUCUACUGUCGGGGAGGCGUACAGGCCAGGCUCCUGGCAACCUCUCUUGCUAGAGCUGCGGCAUUCUCCUGGGUCUCGGGCUGCCCUGGACAAGACUUGAGGCCCGAGCCCCCUAUCUCGGGCGACUCCCGCUUUGUUUUCUGAUAGGGGAGAAGCCUGGAGACAAGGAGUCGCCUAGAUAUUGGCUCCAUCUCUGAAACCAGCCGCCAAGCCUAGGGUUAAGACAACUCCUCCCUCCGCCCCACUUCCAACACAACCCCAGUAACUUAGAAGUUAACGCAAGUUCUGACCGGUCUUGUAACACACUCUAUCCGUGCAGGUUGCAUUUACUUAUUUAUCUGAAGGGUGAUCUGUGUGUUCUUAGACAAACUCGCAGUUAUCACCCAUGCAUCUGGUUCUGGGUUAAAUACACUUCGCCUUGACAUUUGCUCGGUGUAUGCUCACGCCUCCUGUUCUUUCUUAAAGCUGUUAGGUGGGGGCAGGAGGGAAGACAGUGUGUAUAAGUAAUUUAAAACCUUACAAACAACUGUUAUCAGAUCCUAAACAAACCAAUUCUGAGAAUUACAACCAGAUUCAGUUGAGAGGCAAAAGUGGACGUGGAUUUUGGAAAAGGGUGCCUAAGGACUUCCAGGUCAGCCACCCACCGCUACCACCACCACCACCGCCACCACUACCACCAUCACUAUCAGCACCCUGAAGAAGGGAAGAGAGGAAAACCAACCCCAGGGUGCAGGCCUGCCUGCUGCAAGCUUUCUAGAGGCAAAACUGACUGACGGCCUCUCACUCUCAUCUCCUGUGCUCAGUGUGACGCCAAGCCCAACCUGGAUUUGUUCUGAAUGGGGGGGAAGUGAAAUGCCACAAGAUCAGUAGCAAGUAGCAGCUGCAGCGUUUUCUCUCCUGGGAACCCCACUGCUUAGAAGCCUCCUGAGUGAUGUUUGUUUAACCAACAGCUUUCAAAGUAAACAGAAGCCAAUCACUCCAAAGAAGUUGAAAUAUAACCCUUACAAGAAUUUGGAUCCAGGGGUGCUGGCAGAAAGAAAGUAAUUUUUAAAAUGAUAAAGAACCCACUCCCAAAUAAGAGUCUGCCACAUUGCUUUAAGGAGCGCAGAAUUGUCAUGAAAAUAUAAUUUCAUCGAAAGGGCUAAUUACAAUAAGUUGACCUCGAAGAAAAUCACUCUUCGCCCACAAAGACACACCCGCGGGGAUGAGGAGGUUGUCAGUGAUUGAAGGGACACACUACUACUUGAUUUUAUGGAAGUGGGCGAAAACAAUCAAAGGGAAGUACAUUCCCUGCCCUGGAGUAGUGAAGUGUAGGCUGGGAGCUCUUCGCCGCCAACCCUGGCUUUGCCUCAGGCACCGAACUUUCCAAUACCAAGAUAUUAACAGAUGGUGGUGAGCACAUGGAGGGCUGCUACUUACAUAAUCUAGCCACUCCGCCCGGCUGCCCAGAGCCCGGCGAGGAACCGGCCAGGCCGCGCGCGCGCCUUCCGAGGGGUGCUCCCUGACAUAACUUGCCUUUCUCCAACCCCACCCAUCGUUUUGAGGGUUAGCAUUUGGAGAGGCCGUGAUUUAAAAAAACCAAACAAAAACAAAAACACCCAAAACAUUGAUUUGGCUGUGCUUUGUCUUCUUCAGUCCAUAGUAGCGAAGAAGCUGGAAACCCAAAGGCUGAGAGAAACGGAGGGGAUGCCUUCGGCGAGAAAGGGGUGCUCUCCCUACGUAUCUGGGGGUUCCCGCGAGUGGAAUUUACACAAUUUACAACACUCUUGCCCACCAUCUUUGGUUCAAAUCCACAUAUCUUUUGCUGUCGCUUAAGUACAAAGGCAGUCUCGGGCCGCAACUCAAGGGGAGUGAGAUGGGGUGAGGGUGUGAGUGUGAAGGGGACACCUUUGCACGCGGGGGCGCAGUGGGCAAAGUUACGCAAAGCCUCUGGGCACCGCUACACUUCCAAGCUGUGGCAGGGUUUUAAGCGCUCGAUCCCGCUCGCAGGGAGUCCCUUUCGGAUGUGUGGCCGCCUGCUGCCUUCACGCCCUCAGCCGCCUCCCAAGAGGCCCUGUCCCUCCUGGUGUGCCUGUGUACCUCCUCCAGUGUGCCAGGGCACGUGUGCUUCCCGAGCCUCCUCCCUGACUGCGACUCGGGACCGCCGAAUCCUGCGAGGAAUACGCCUGCGUGUGUUGGAAAAGUUUCGGGUUGGGCAGGAAGGCUGGGAAUCUCCUCUCCAGGCACUCGGCAGGAGCGGGGCUUCCUCGCCCGCGGCUUCCUCCCAGUGCCCUCCUCCCUCCCCGGCCCGCCCUUCCUAGCCUCGGCCCCGCGCUAGGUGUCGCGGCCUCUCCGGCCAGAGAGAGCGAGCGCCAGAUGCUGCGGCUGCCGCGGCGCCGCGCUCCGCAGAGGGCGCGCCCCUCCUGCCUGCGCGGCCAAGUGGGGGUCCAGGCCGCCCUGCUGGUCCCUCCUCGCUCUGGCCCCGCGGCACUUGCCUCUUCCCGGGCCAUCGCAGGGGCUGCAGCCUCGCUCAGCUAGCCUGGGCUCAGUACACGCCCUGGACGCAGAGGGCAACCACCUGCUCCCGGCGCGCCGCAGAGCCGGGGAACGUCGUGGUGGCCGGGGGAUUUCGGCCGCCGCCAGGCCUGCGCUGCCCCCGCGGCCUCUCCUCCCCCGCCGCCCGCCUGUUGCUGUGGGGACAGCCGGUGGACGCGCUCGACCUGGGAGGGGGGACUCCCUCCCGGGACCGCGGGAGGGGCGUGCACGUUUGAAGGGAUGGAAAUCUCCCUUUCUGCCCACCCCCUUUCUUUUGUCAAUUACUCUAAGGAUGUUUGGCCGUUACUCCCAGCUUCCCUCUCUUUGGUCUUUCACGUCAAGGAUGUGAAUUCGGGGGUGCUCCAUUUUCAGGGGCUUUGGUGAUAGGACUGAAGUUUUCCAUAUUGUCCAUCUUACCAGAAGCUUUUAUUCAGGGUGAGGAGUGGGCUAGAAAUAAGUAGGUGCCUGCCUGACGCAGCGAAAAGAGAAGGACGCUCCCAGUUUGGAUGCAUUUGGAGAGAGUAACUGGAAAGUUGCAUUUUGUUUAAAUUAGAGCAAGAUGAAGUUGAAAGCCAGAUUUCUAUAUUUUUUCUGGUAAUAUUUCUUUUAUGAAGUAUCUAAGUGUCUGUUUGUCAUCAUUUUGAGAUCAAAAGGAAAAUCCAUAUGCUGUAUAGUUUUUCGAAAUUGCUAUUUAAAUAUGUUUUAAAUGUUUUGUCCAACGUGGAGUAGGCUGCUUGGAGGCAAGGCUGGUGACAGGAAUAGCGGGAUGGUUUGAUGUGGAGUGGUGCUUCCGAAGACCUGACGAAUCAUCGGAAUCACCGAAGGGGUGUUUUGUUGUUGUUGUUGUUGUUGUUGUUGUUGUUUUAAAUAAAGAUUUCUGGGCCCACCCCAGUGAGGUAAUCAGAAGAAGGACCUGGGAAUCUGGGGGUCACCCUGUGUCUUUAAUUA